rnacentral:rRNA from 1 species
CGUAGGGAGCAAGCGUUGUUCGGAUUUACUGGGCGUAAAGGGCGCGUAGGCGGCAAUUCAAGUCAUCUGUGAAAUCUCCGGGCUUAACUCGGAACGGUCAGAUGAUACUGCUUUGCUAGAGUGCAGAAGGGGCAAUCGGAAUUCUCGGUGUAGCGGUGAAAUGCGUAGAUAUCGAGAGGAACACCAGAGGUGAAGACGGGUUGCUGGGCUGACACUGACGCUGAGGCGCGAAAGCCAGGGGAGCAAACGGGAUUAGAUACCCCGGUAGUCCUGGCCCUAAACGAUGAAUACUUGGUGUCUGGAGUUAUUAGUGCUCCGGGUGCCGUCGCUAACGUUUUUAGUAUUCCGCCUGGGGAGUACGCUCGCAAGAGUG